rnacentral:misc_RNA from 1 species
GAGAAAGCAAAAUGCAAACCCUAGGGCACAUCAGUGACAAGAAAUUUAUCUUGUUUUGUGAAAUAAAAGGGGAUAUUGAAGGACUUCCUAAUCUAACUCAAUCAAGACUUUCUAAGAGAGAAAAUGAGAUAUUUUCUUCACCAAAAUAAGAGGGAGAUCAUUCUAAACUCAAGACACAAUAACCCUAGCCUGGAAGGAAGUUAAAGCAAGGGAGAUCAAGCAAUAAGAUUGAAGACCCAAGGUCCAUUAAAGAACUUCUAAUAAGCUUUUCUAUUCUUUCAUCAAUUUAGUUUUAUUGUGGGUUCUAUUCAACGGAUUGCUUUGUUUAUUCAAUGAUUUGUUUUGUUUAUUCUUCAUCUUUUGUAUUCAUUAAUAGCAUGAUAAGCUGAUUUUCUCUUUCUAAUGUUAGAGAUGUAGCACUUAAAAUUAGGGAUAAAUUUUAACAAAUAUCCCUAAACUUUUAUGGUUGCAAUAUUACAAUCCUUCAACUUUAAAAUGUAGCAUAAA